rnacentral:rRNA from 1 species
AUUGAACGCUGGCGGCAUGCCUAACACAUGCAAGUCGAGCGGAGCGGCGGACGGGUGAGUAAUGCCUAGGAAUCUGCCCGGUCGUGGGGGAUAACGUCCGGAAACGGGCGCUAAUACCGCAUACUAUCAGAUGAGCCUCGGUCGGAUUAGCUAGUUGGUGGGGUAAAGGCCUACCAAGGCGACGAUCCGUAACUGGUCUGAGAGGAGGAUCAGUCACACUGGAACUGAGACACGGUCCAGACUCCUAAGGGAGGCAGCAGUGGGGAAUAGUGGACAAUGGGCGAGAGCCUGAUCCAGCGAUGCCGCGUGUGUGAAGAAGGUCUUCGGAUUGUAAAGCACUUUAGGGUGGGAGGCGUUACCGACAGAAUAAGCACCGGCUAACUACGUGCCAGCAGCCGCGGUAAUUC